CACGUGGCUAGCUCCAUUGCAUUUCUUUGAUUUUCUUGCUUUUGUGCUAUCUCUCUUCAACAUCUUAUUCUAAGCUUUUUUGGAAAAAAAAACAAUAUCUUUUGUCAUUGUUAUUAUCUUUCUUGAAAACGCAACUAUGCUUAGACCUACACUCAACAUGUCUAAUCAUUUUGUGAGCUAAAAUCUGAAACAACUCUCUUUCUCUGAAACAACUUUCUUCGUCUUCCACCUUCCUCCCUUCUUCUCCCUCUAAUAUUUCUUCGCCUUCAACCUUCCUUCCUCCUCAUUACGGUGCCGCCAAGCCCAUUUUGAAUAUCUUCGUCUUCCACCUACCUCUGUCAUCCUUCUUCUACUUUCUUCGUCUUCCACCUUCCUCACUCCUCAAUACGUUUUUGUCUUCCGUUUUGAACGCACCUGCUAUAUAUGGCUCGACCGAUGGAGAAAGUUAUGGACACAACGACACUAAGGAUCUGUUGGUUAGGGUUUUUUUUGGUUGAUUUGAUGAUUGUGAUUUUGAUUUAGUUUUUGUUGUUUCAGGUUUAAUGGUGUUGCGAAAAGGGAGAGAUUCUCGGCGGUUAGGUGUUGAAGAUGUUGGUCUAAUUAUUUUCAGUUAUUUUUUUGUUACAUUUGGAAAUUAUGCAAUGCAGAAUUUUGUCUUUAAUGGAAGAAGUCACAUCUAAAUUGAACAUGGAAAAAUUUAAAAAGGAACAACGGGUUCUCCAUACAAGUUCAAGUUCCUCAGAAACUGUAUUUCAUAAGAACGUUACUCUAGAAAAAAAUUAAAGGUUCUGUUAAGAAGGUUUAAUUUAUGCUGUAGAAGUUGGACUUGGAUUCUUUUAUGAAGAAUGUGAUUAUGAUAAAUAUUAUGGAUUUAUGGAUGCUUCUUUUCACAUUGGU